rnacentral:rRNA from 1 species
GACGAAGGUGGCGAGCGUUGUUCGGAAUCACUGGGCAUAAAGAGCACGUAGGCGGCUAAGUCAGUCGGAUGUGAGAUACCUCGGCUCAACCGAGGAACUGCGUCCGAUACUGCUUGGCUUGAGGUCCGGAGGGGAGAGUGGAAUUCCCGGUGGAGCGGUGAAAUGCGUAGAGAUCGGGAAGAACGCCGGCGGCGAAAGCGACUCUCUGGUCGGAAUCUGACGCUGAGGUGCGAAAGCUAGGGGAGCAAACGGG